GAUGAACGCUGGCGGCGUGCCUAAUACAUGCAAGUCGAGCGAACAGACGAGGAGCUUGCUCCUCUGACGUUAGCGGCGGACGGGUGAGUAACACGUGGAUAACCUACCUAUAAGACUGGGAUAACUUCGGGAAACCGGAGCUAAUACCGGAUAAUAUAUUGAACCGCAUGGUUCAAUAGUGAAAGACGGUUUUGCUGUCACUUAUAGAUGGAUCCGCGCCGCAUUAGCUAGUUGGUAAGGUAACGGCUUACCAAGGCAACGAUGCGUAGCCGACCUGAGAGAGUGAUCGGCCACACUGGAACUGAGACACGGUCCAGACUCCUACGGGAGGCAGCAGUAGGGAAUCUUCCGCAAUGGGCGAAAGCCUGACGGAGCAACGCCGCGUGAGUGAUGAAGGUCUUCGGAUCGUAAAACUCUGUUAUUAGGGAAGAACAAAUGUGUAAGUAAAUAUGCACGUCUUGACGGUACCUAAUCAGAAAGCCACGGCUAACUACGUG
rnacentral:rRNA from 1 species